rnacentral:rRNA from 1 species
CUUAAUGACGCAGCCUGAUGCAGCCACGCCGCGUGAGUGAUGACGGCCUCGGUUGUAAACCUCUGUCGACAGGGACGAAGCUUUUGUGACGGUACCAGUAUAAUAAGGACCGGUCCACUACGGGCCAGCCGCCGCUAUAAUAGCACCCGCGGUAAUAUUAUAAUUAUUUGCACCUCUAGU